rnacentral:ribozyme from 1 species
GCUUCCUUUCAAUGUGACAUGUGAUUUCAUUCCAGAUAUGGACUAUCUAAAUGAUAUUGUGACUUAUCUCCA